rnacentral:rRNA from 1 species
AGAGUUUGAUCCUGGCUCAGAAUGAACGUUGGCGGCGUGGAUUAGGCAUGCAAGUCGAACGGAUCUGGUUUUCGGACCAGGUUAGUGGCGUAAGGGUGAGUAAUGCGACGGCAACCAACCCCAUGGUUGGGCAUAACCGCGGGAAGCUGCGGAUAAUAUCCAGCGAUGUUCGUGUCGGGCAUCCGGUGCGAACCAAAGUUUCGGCGCCGUGGGACGGGCCGUCGUGGUAUUAGGUAGUUGGCGGGGUAAUGGCCCACCAAGCCUUUGAUGCCUACCGGGCGUGCGAGCGUGGCCCGGCACACUGGGACUGAGACACUGCCCAGACUCCUACGGGAGGCUGCAGUCGAGAAUCUUCGGCAAUGGGCGCAAGCCUGACCGAGCGACGCCGCGUGGAGGAUGAAGGCCUU